rnacentral:rRNA from 1 species
GAUGAACGCUAGCGGAAGGCAUAAUACAUGCAAGUCGAACGGAUGUAGCAAUACAUUAGUGGCGCACGGGUGCGUAACGCGUAUGCAACCUACCUUCAUCAGGGGGAUAACUACCCGAAAGGGUGGCUAACACCGCAUAAUACUAUUGAGUGGCAUCACUUGAUAUUUAAAUCUGAGGAGGAUGAAGAUGGGCAUGCGUCUGAUUAGCUAGUUGGUGUGGUACCGGCGCACCAAGGCGACGAUCAGUAGGGGAACUGAGAGGUUGGUCCCCCACACUGGCACUGAGAUACGGGCCAGACUCCUACGGGAGGCAGCAGUAGGGAAUAUUGGUCAAUGGUGGGAACACUGAACCAGCCAUUCCGCGUGCAGGAAGAAGGGUCUCUGACUUGUAACUGCUUUAGCAAGGGAAGAAAAAGCUCAUGCGUGAGAAAUUGACGGUACCUUGAGAAUAAGCACCGGCUAACUACGUGCCAGCAGCCGCCGUAA